rnacentral:rRNA from 1 species
GAAGCAACGCGAAGAACCUUACCAGGUCUUGACAUCCUUUGAAGCUUUUAGAGAUAGAAGUGUUCUCUUCGGAGACAAAGUGACAGGUGGUGCAUGGUCGUCGUCAGCUCGUGUCGUGAGAUGUUGGGUUAAGUCCCGCAACGAGCGCAACCCUUAUUGUUAGUUGCCAGCAUUCAGAUGGGCACUCUAGCGAGACUGCCGGUGACAAACCGGAGGAAGGCGGGGACGACGUCAGAUCAUCAUGCCCCUUAUGACCUGGGCUACACACGUGCUACAAUGGCGUAUACAACGAGUUGCCAACCCGCGAGGGUGAGCUAAU